UGGGGAAUAUUGCACAAUGGGCGCAAGCCUGAUGCAGCCAUGCCGCGUGUAUGAAGAAGGCCUUCGGGUUGUAAAGUACUUUCAGCGGGGAGGAAGGUGUUGUGGUUAAUAACCUCAGCAAUUGACGUUACCCGCAGAAGAAGCACCGGCUAACUCCGUGCCAGCAGCCGCGGUAAUACGGAGGGGGCAAGCGUUAAUCGGAAUUACUGGGCGUAAAGCGCACGCAGGCGGUCUGUCAAGUCGGAUGUGAAAGCCCCGGGCUCAACGUGGGAACUGCAUCCGAAACUGGCAGGCUUGAGUCUUGUAGAGGGGGGUAGAAUUCCAGGUGUAGCGGUGAAAUGCGUAGAGAUCUGGAGGAAUACCGGUGGCGAAGGCGGCCCCCUGGACAAAGACUGACGCUCAGGUGCGAAAGCGUGGGGAGCAAACA
rnacentral:rRNA from 1 species